rnacentral:rRNA from 1 species
AAGGUGUGCUGUGAGGCAUGCUGGAGGUAUCAGAAGUGCGAAUGCUGACAUAAGUAACGAUAAAGCGGGUGAAAAGCCCGCUCGCCGGAAGACCAAGGGUUCCUGUCCAACGUUAAUCGGGGCAGGGUGAGUCGACCCCUAAGGCGAGGCCGAAAGGCGUAGUCGAUGGGAAACAGGUUAAUAUUCCUGUACUUGGUGUUACUGCGAAGGGGGGACGGAGAAGGCUAUGUUGGCCGGGCGACGGUUGUCCCGGUUUAAGCGUGUAGGCUGGUUUUCCAGGCAAAUCCGGAAAAUCAAGGCUGAGGCGUGAUGACGAGGCACUACGGUGCUGAAGCAACAAAUGCCCUGCUUCCAGGAAAAGCCUCUAAGCAUCAGGUAACAUCAAAUCGUACCCCAAACCGACACAGGUGGUCAGGUAGAGAAUACCAAGGCGCUUGAGAGAACUCGGGUGAAGGAACUAGGCAAAAUGGUGCCGUAACUUCGGGAGAAGGCACGCUGAUAUGUAGGUGAAGUCCCUUGCGGAUGGAGCUGAAAUCAGUCGAAGAUACCAGCUGGCUGCAACUGUUUAUUAAAAACACAGCACUGUGCAAACACGAAAGUGGACGUAUACGGUGUGACGCCUGCCCGGUGCCGGAAGGUUAAUUGAUGGGGUCAGCGCAAGCGAAGCUCUUGAUCGAAGCCCCGGUAAACGGCGGCCGUAACUAUAACGGUCCUAAGGUAGCGAAAUUCCUUGUCGGGUAAGUUCCGACCUGCACGAAUGGCGUAAUGAUGGCCAGGCUGUCUCCACCCGAGACUCAGUGAAAUUGAACUCGCUGUGAAGAUGCAGUGUACCCGCGGCAAGACGGAAAGACCCCGUGAACCUUUACUAUAGCUUGACACUGAACAUUGAGCCUUGAUGUGUAGGAUAGGUGGGAGGCUUUGAAGUGUGGACGCCAGUCUGCAUGGAGCCGGCCUUGAAAUACCACCCUUUAAUGUUUGAUGUUCUAACGUGGACCCGUGAUCCGGGUUGCGGACAGUGUCUGGUGGGUAGUUUGACUGGGGCGGUCUCCUCCUAAAGAGUAACGGAGGAGCACGAAGGUUGGCUAAUCCUGGUCGGACAUCAGGAGGUUAGUGCAAUGGCAUAAGCCAGCUUGACUGCGAGCGUGACGGCGCGAGCAGGUGCGAAAGCAGGUCAUAGUGAUCCGGUGGUUCUGAAUGGAAGGGCCAUCGCUCAACGGAUAAAAGGUACUCCGGGGAUAACAGGCUGAUACCGCCCAAGAGUUCAUAUCGACGGCGGUGUUUGGCACCUCGAUGUCGGCUCAUCACAUCCUGGGGCUGAAGUAGGUCCCAAGGGUAUGGCUGUUCGCCAUUUAAAGUGGUACGCGAGCUGGGUUUAGAACGUCGUGAGACAGUUCGGUCCCUAUCUGCCGUGGGCGCUGGAGAACUGAGGGGGGCUGCUCCUAGUACGAGAGGACCGGAGUGGACGCAUCACUGGUGUUCGGGUUGUCAUGCCAAUGGCACUGCCCGGUAGCUAAAUGCGGAAGAGAUAAGUGCUGAAAGCAUCUAAGCACGAAACUUGCCCCGAGAUGAGUUCUCCCUGACCCUUUAAGGGUCCUGAAGGAACGUUGAAGACGACGACGUUGAUAGGCCGGGUGUGUAAGCGCAGCGAUGCGUUGAGCUAACCGGUACUAAUGAACCGUGAG